rnacentral:rRNA from 1 species
CGGGAGUAACAACCUGGAAACAAGAUGCUAAUACCGGAUAACAACAGAUGAUGCCUAUCAACUGUUUAAAAGAUGGUUCUGCUAUCACUCUUGGAUGGACCUGCGGUGCAUUAGCUAGUUGGUAGGGUAACGGCCUACCAAGGCGAUGAUGCAUAGCCGAGUUGAGAGACUGAUCGGCCACAUUGGGACUGAGACACGGCCCAGACUCCUACGGGAGGCAGCAGAC